rnacentral:rRNA from 1 species
UGACUCACGCGGGAAUCUUACCGGGUCCGGACACAUUGAGGAUUGACAGAUAUAUUCACUUUUUAGUGGGAAAGAUGCUAGUUCUUUCAUGAUUAUGUGAUAGGUGGUGCAUGGCCGUUCUUAGUUCGUGGAGUGAUCUGUCUGCUUAAUUGCGUUUCACUUAAAAAUAUAUUUUAUUCACCCAGUGAAUAAUUUAUAAAAU